rnacentral:rRNA from 1 species
CCCUUAGAUGUUCUGGGCCGCACGCGCGCUACAAUGGUCUUCGCAAACGGAUGCAUUCUCGAAGGAGAAUGCCAAUCUUGGAAUCUAUGCCUUGGUCGGGACAGUUGCUUGCAAUUUUUCGACUCGAACCAGGAAUUCCUUGUAAUCGUGAUUCAUCACAUCACGAUGAAUACGUCCCUGCCCUUUGUACACACCGCCCGUCGCUCCUACCGAUCGAAGAGUUAGGUGAAUUGUUUUGAUCGAUAAGAUUUGACUAUGGUCAACUCUCGUUGUGAAAUUCUGUGAAUCUGACUGUUUAGAGGAAGGAAGAGUCGUAACA